UACGGAGGGUGCAAGCGUUAUCCGGAUUCACUGGGUUUAAAGGGUGCGUAGGAGGGCAGGUAAGUCAGUGGUGAAAUCUCCAAGCUUAACUUGGAAACUGCCGUUGAUACUAUCUGUCUUGAAUACCGUUGGAGGUGAGCGGAAUAUGUCAUGUAGCGGUGAAAUGCUUAGAUAUGAACAUAGAACACCAAUUGCGAAGGCAGC
rnacentral:rRNA from 1 species